UGACUCCUUGAGGGUCCUGAAGGAACGUUGAAGACGACGACGUUGAUAGGCCGGGUGUGUAAGCGCAGCGAUGCGUUGAGCUAACCGGUACUAAUGAACCGUGAGGCUUAACCUUACAACGCCGAAG
rnacentral:rRNA from 1 species